AUGGGACUCCCCAGACAGCCGAGUGAGAGACGCCGGAGAAGAGCAGGGGCCCCUUUUCCUUCGGCCGGAAAGGCCACACAGGAGGUGUGGUGGGGAGACCCGACCACCUGGGGAGCUCCGGGCCCUCGAGCCCAGAGCCGCAGCCUCUCCGGGACCCGCCGGAGCAAGAGCUGCCAGCUGCGUCAGCGGGGCCCCAGCACGGUGAAUGCGGCGUGCCCCGAAAGCUUCCUGGGGACGGGGCGCAGCAAGCUCCAGAAGAGCAGUCCGGCCUGUGGCGAGGCUCCGCAGCUCGCUCGGGGCAGGCCCUCCUGGGCCGGGACGGGGCCCCGUGUAGAGCGCGACACGCCCUGUGCCGAGCCCACCUGCCGGGGCCUUGCCUGGGCUGCCAGGAGCUCGCGCGCACCAGAGGCUCAGGGAGGGCCUUCCCCGCAGGGUCACCUUCCACGGGCUCACAGAGGGACCUUCCCCGGGGGGUCGGUCACCUUCCACGGGCUCACAGAGGGCCUUCCCCGGGGGGUCGGUCACCUUCCCCGGGCUCACGGAGGGCCUUCCCUGGGCCCUUCCAUGAGAGCCGUCCGGGCGUGACGCAGGCCGGCGGCAUCAGUUGUCCCCCACAGGGAGGCCCGAGUCUGCAGUUUUGGAGCGGACUCUCCGCUCCCCGCUCUUGCUCCGGGCAGGGUUUCUCGGCGGGCGCUGGAGGCACCGGGCCCGAGAGCCCCGAGGUGGGAGCCGGUCCUGCGACCGGCGUCGCCUCAGUGGGACGGUCGGGCCCCCGGACCCCGGCGGCCGCCUGCGGGGAGGGGGCGACGGGACAUACCGCCCCGUGGGAACCCUGCACCCCGGGAGGCCACCAGGCGGCCGGGAGGGGCGCGUCUCGCAGACCGUUGGGUGAGGCAGGCGUCCGUCCGUCCGUCCGCCGUCCCGCUCGCCACCGUCCAGCCCGGAGCAGACCCCGGCCCAAGGGCUCCAGUUCCAGGAGGUCUCUGGUCUCUGCCCGAACUGCGUGUAAGCGUCAGGCUGGGAGUGCCCCGCGGCCGGCUCCUGCGUCUGCGUGACUCGGGCGUCGGCCCGGCUCCCGCGGCCUGGGCACGGAGCCCCUCCACUUCCAUCUCCAGCGAGGCCUCAGGACGCGCAGGACGCUUUCACCCCGCUCCGGAGUCUCUAUGACCAGUGAACUGCUAGCAAGCAACCUACCACGGUAGUGACUCAGAAGGGACCUGACGUACUUGCCCUGAGGACGACUCUGCUGCCAGCCCCGGGGGGACCCAACAGGCGGGCGCCCACCCCUGCACCCGCACAACACGGAGCCCUCCCCGGGGCGGACGCAUGUGCCCGCCGGUCGCUGCUGCCCAGGAGACACCUGUUGCCCGGCGGCCAGGGCGCUGCUGGCCGGGGGCUCGGGGACGGCCCCUCUGGGGCCCCCCCACAGCCACGCCCGCUCCGGGGCGCCUGUGCACCGGGGGCACCGCUCCUCACCUCACCCUCAGCCCAGUCCGCCUCCUCCCUGCCCCGCCAAGAUGCUGACCCGGUGGGCGGCCUGCCCAACCCCCAGCCUCUGCUUCCAGGAACACUAACCCGUCCCGAG
rnacentral:lncRNA from 1 species